UCUUAAAUUAAGUUUGACAGUUUCCCUUGCAUCUUUUAAUAUUUAACCAAAUGUCGACAGGCUGUCCUAGCAGAUAUUUUAUCCAGCAUCGUAUUCGUCUGUCCACCUCGUAUGGAAAUCUUUGGAGCCAUGCAAAUGGUUGCCCACGCAGCUUCAUUUGCAUUGGAAAAUCCUUUUGCAGAGCUUGGCUGAAAAUCUAUGCAUGCUGUACUCGUAUUCUCGUAUUUGUAUUCUUUCGGCCUACGACGAGUUGGAGCAAAUGCCUUGCAAUGCUUUUUUAAUCAAUUUCUGUCAGUUGACUGUCAGAGGAAAAUCAGAGGCAAUCGCCUCAGUGGACCGAGUUUUAGCCUGGGUUGAAAAUUAUGCGCAUAGAUUUAAAAGAUUUUAAAAGUCCACAUAUAGAGAUGGAUUAAGUGAGGGCGAGAGAGAGCGAAAGAAAGAGCGAGAUGGCACAGUCCGAGAAAACACUCAAAAUUCCAUGACCCAUUGACAAGGACGCAGCAUCGCAGGAUGGAAAUAAAGGAAGCACAGCAACAUUUCCGCCAACGCGAUUAAAAUCUAAAGCAAAUUGUUGUCAAAGUGGAAAAUGUUUUUCCGUAUUUGUCAGAGCCACAUUGAAGAGCAUUUGAUGACUGCCGAGCUCGAGGGGAUUUCCCGGUCUGUCUGACUGAUGCCACUGACCCAAUGAGUUAGUUUCUUGGGUUUGUUCAACUCUUCUUUGAUGAUGAUUGUAUCACAUACGAAAAGCAGAGGAAAAGUGUUUGCAAUGAGGAUGCAAAAGAAGAGAUGAAUUGGCAUCAACUUUAAAAUUUAUAUUAACUAAUAUUUAGAUAAUUGUGCUCACAUUUGAAAUUUAUAGUGGAAAGCAAUCAUAUAAAUAAAUUAGUAUUCGAG